AACGCUAGCGGCAGGCCUAACACAUGCAAGUCGAACGGUAACAGGAAAGAGCUUGCUUUUUUGCUGACGAGUGGCGCACGGGUGCGUAACGCGUAUAUAAUCUACCUUUUACAGGGGGAUAGCCUUUAGAAAUGAAGAAUAAUACCCCAUAGUAAGUUUACUUGGCAUCGAGCAGACUUUAAAGUUUCGGCGGUAAAAGAUGAAUAUGCGUUCUAUUAGCUAGAUGGUGUGGUAACGGCAUACCAUGGCGACGAU
rnacentral:rRNA from 1 species